CAGCAGCCGCGGUAAUACGGAGGGUGCAAGCGUUAAUCGGAAUUACUGGGCGUAAAGCGUGCGUAGGCGGUUUGUUAAGUCUGUUGUGAAAUCCCCGGGCUCAACCUGGGAAUGGCAAUGGAUACUGGCAAGCUAGAGUGUGUCAGAGGAUGGUGGAAUUCCCGGUGUAGCGGUGAAAUGCGUAGAGAUCGGGAGGAACAUCAGUGGCGAAGGCGGCCAUCUGGGACAACACUGACGCUGAGGCACGAAAGCGUGGGGAGCAAACAGGAUUAGAUACCCGCGUAGUCCCUGUCUCUUAUAC
rnacentral:rRNA from 1 species